AUGAUAACCUUCUCUCUAAACAUUUCAACAUGUUAUGACCGAAACCUCUAUCCUAACCACACAAAUUCUCUGCCAAUUUCGAAGAUCAAGAUUCUUGCAAUCAUAACUUCUAUCUCUUGAUUCAAACUCUUUUUUCAUCCGUUUGAGAUGAUUCAAUUUCAUUAGUUAUGAUGCUACAAGGAGAAGCAGAGGAAAAAGAGACAGAAGAAGUGUCACACCCCAACCGAUGGCGGAAACAUCAGGGCGCGGCACUGACCGAAACAGAUUGUCCAUGAGUAUCCAUAACAACUAUUAAUUACCAGAUAUUUAAACGUCACGUCCCAUACCAUAACAUAUCCAAAUAAAACAGUUAUUACAAAUAAUUGUCUCAAAAACAAACACUACUCCGACAACUCAGAUUUAGCGUGACAUAACUAGACCCCUAGCUUGAUUCACCAAAGCACAACAUUCCUAGCAUCUUAAGCACUGUCACAUACGUUAAAAUAGGGUCAAUACACAUAGUGUAUAGGUGAGCAUACAAGUUUAAUAUUAUAGUAGAUUUCGAAAACGUUUACGCAUAACCAGCAUGUAACAUGUAGCAAGGCGAAGUAUGUAGGUUAUCGACAAUGAAAUAUGCACAGACGUGACUGCGAGUUGUAGAAUGCGCAACACAUAUCCCCACUGGGACACGUUAAGUAAAGCCCUUAACAACCCCUGUCCAUGACAGGUGCUGAGUCCAAACUAUAGUACUAUCGUUGCUAAGGU
rnacentral:lncRNA from 1 species